rnacentral:lncRNA from 1 species
ACCCGACGAUACAAGAUAUUUACUCAGAGAUUCUUUAGCCAACUGACUAUACUCCGCAUUAUUUGGGUCUUGUUCUUGCUGCCCUCCAACUACCUGUCUUUUCUUCCUGGAGUUACUAGGGAUACAAUUCACAGUGAUGUCUUUCUUCUUUAGCCAGGGUUGUUCCCAGAUCUCUGAAUGGCAUGUUAAUGUGUUGGCUGUACUCUGAACUUCGCAGUUGGACGCUGUUGGUUGGCCGUUGCUGUCUACAACACAGUUAGUAGGGGCUACUGUGAAGUCAAUUCGCGUCAUCGAUCCAGCUACUACUUGAGUGGUGACUUUAUUGAUUUUGAUAAUUUUAUGGUACUGAGUUGUACCUGAUGAUACAAGAUAUUU